rnacentral:rRNA from 1 species
UACGUAGGGGGCGAGCGUUGUCCGGAGUUACUGGGCGUAAAGGGCAUGCAGGCGGUCGGACGCGUUUCGGGUGACAGCGGGUGGCUUAACUACCCGAGUGGUCGAAAGACGGUUUGACUUGAGGACGCGAGAGGGACACGGAAUUCCGGGUGGAGUGGUGAAAUGCGUAGAGAUCCGGAGGAACACCGAAGGCGAAGGCAGUGUCCUGGCGCGUAACUGACGCUGAGACGCGAAAGCGUGGGGAGCGAACAGG